UACAUAGGGUGCAAGCGUUGUCCGGAAUGAUUGGGCGUAAAGGGCGCGUAGGCGGCCCGGUAAGUCUGAAGUGUAAGUCCUGGCUUCAAGUUGGGAAUUGCUUUGGAUACUGUCGGGCUUGAGUGCAGGAGAGGUAAGUGGAAUUCUCAGUGUAGCGGUGAAAUGCGUAGAGAUUGAGAGGAACACCAGUGGCGAAGGCGACUUACUGGACUGUAACUGACGCUGAGGCGCGAAAGUGUGGGGAGCAAAC
rnacentral:rRNA from 1 species